UACGGGGGGGCAAGCGUUGUUCGGAUUCAUUGGGCGUAAAGGGUGCGUAGGUGGCGCUGUAAGUCGGGUGUGAAAUUUCGGAGCUUAACUCCGAAACUGCAUUCGAUACUGCGGUGCUUGAGGACUGGAGAGGAGACUGGAAUUCAUGGUGUAGCAGUGAAAUGCGCAGAUAUCAGGAGGAACACCGGUGGCGAAGGCGGGUCUCUGGGCCGUAACUGACGCUGAGGAGCGAAAGCGUGGGGAGCGAACAGG
rnacentral:rRNA from 1 species